UCAUCCUCAUCUCUGCUGUAGACUUUGUCAUCGAUAUUGAUUAUUGACUGUAGAAGACUUAGCAGGAUUUCUUUCACAUUGUAUUCUUUAGAUAUAGUAGCCCAAGCACGAACAUCAAAACGAGACUUAAUCGAAGGAUGGUUGAAGACUUGUUUUGCUAAAGUUGUCUUACCAAUGCCACCCAUCCCAACAAUUGGGAUGACUUUUAGUUCAUCUUUAGAGCCUCCUCUGAGUUCUUCAAGCAUCCUUUUCUUUUCCUUGUCACGUCCCACCAUAUUGUUCGAAACAUCCAGAUUAGGUAAUAUUUCUGAGCUACUUGUAUCUCGUAACAAGGACAACGUUGAUGCUUGGCUACCUUUAUGUUGUUGAAUCUUUUGCGACUCUUCUUGAACACGGUCAAUGUCCUUUGCUACUCGUUGCAAGCUCUCACGAAGUUUCUCAUGUGCUUUCCUUUUCCUACCUGAAUGAUGGGGAUGUUUCAGAUAGGAAAAUGGAACAACUGAUAGUUCAGGGAGGAAACUCACAUAUCUGAUAGUUCAUAUAUGAAACUCGAAAAAUGGGGAUACUUUAGGUGCGUUUUUGACCAUCAACUCUUUAAUAUAUAACUUCAAAAAAAAUUUAAGUUUCAAAGGCAAUUAUUGUACUAACCUGGAUCGUUGUAGGAACGAACAUCCACAGCUUUGCUUCCUAGGGAUUCUUGCUCCUCUUGAAUUCGUCCAGCAGAAGCCACGAGUUUUGCACUACAGUUCUGUAACUCGAUUAGUUGUAGCGAGUAAAUAUCUGCAAACUCAAUAGGGAUCUCCUCCAAAUGAAAGCAAUGUCUGAUCACUAGAUGCUCAAGAGCAGGGAAAUGAUCAUUUGUGGCUUUCCAACAUUUCAGAUUUGUACCUUCAAUUAGCAAAAACUUCAACUGUGGAAAUCUUCCUUCAAUUGGACGCCAUUCUAGGCCAUGACAAGCAUUUGGUUUCAGCUUCAACACCUCAAGGUUAGGCCAUUGCCCUAUGAUGUUCAACUCCUCCCAUGAUAGACAAGUUCCGACCAGUUUUAACUUCUUCAACUUUAUUGGAAAAUGUAAAACAGGCGAUUUAUGGAAUCUUGAACUCCCGUGACUUACCUGAUAACGAUCAACUUUAACACUCAAUGUUUCUAGCUGAUGCAGAUCAACAAGAUGACGGAGGUCCAUAACUUCUUCGUGCACUCCAUAGUCAUACACGUGCCCCCGAAUACAUAAUUUCUUAAUGUUUUGAAACCUUGAAAGGAUCUUCUUAGUGCAACAAUAAGGAAUCAAGCCCGAAACAGACUGUAUGUUUGGCCAAAACAAGUUCCUCUCUCCAUCAAUGGAUGAACUUGGAGGAUCUGGCAAAUAAAAAUUCCUGAGUUUCAGGUGCCUUAAUUGUGUUGUUUCCCAAAUUAGUUCCGGGAACUUAAUAAAUGAGAUAACUGGCCCUCGAACGAUGAAUGUUUGUAGAUUCAGUAAUCUGCAAAGUCCUCCAGGUAUGCCAAAAGAAUUACGAGUCGAAAAGGAUAGGUACCUCAACAAAAAGAGACUAAGUAUCUGCAGGGGAAAGCUUGAGAAGAACAUUGAACUCAAGUCCAAGACUCUGAUUAAAUUCAAAUGACCAAGCUCUAAAUUGGAAUUGUUACUGAAAGAAGGUGCAGCAAACAGGAAAAUUGAUCGAAUUCUUCUCAAGGGACUCUUAUCAUCAUCGGUAGGCGUCCUAAUCAACCAGCAAAGUUUAUGUGUAAGGGACCUAAACCAAUGCUCAUCCUGAAACUCAACAUAAGUUUGUUGACUUUUCUGUAUAAGAACUUGAUUAUAAUUCAAGUAUUACAUCAUCAGUUUGUUGACUUUUCUGUAUGCUAAUCCAUUGACAUCCCACACGAGGAACGGAUCCUGUUUUAUCAUUUCUGAUAAACAAAAAGUUUUGGCUUUGUGCUUCUCUCAAGCAUAACUCAUGGACCAGAUCAUGAAUCCUACAUGUCUUGAUUUUUCUUCCAUCUGCACUUCUUUUGCUAACUAAAACUAGACAUCUAUCCACGAGAUCCUGCAAACGGUUUUUAGCCUCUUCUUCCAAGUCACCCUCCAGCUUCAAGAACCCCUCAGCAAUCCAUAAUCUCACCAAUCUCUUCACUGAAAUUUCACUGUCUUCUGGAAAUAUUCCAAAAUACAGAAGGCAUGCUUUUAAGUCAUUAGGCAAGUAGUUGUAACUCAAUCCGAGCACACGUAGACAUUGUUCAUCAGGAUCUUUCGUUACAAACGACUUAAUAUUCUCAGCAACAUUCUCCCAUUCUUCUUUUGUUCUCUUUGAUUUGGAGAGAAGACCAGCAACCACGACAAUCGUUAGUGGUAACCCUUGACAUUUGCUUGCAAUUUUCUCACCUAUGGUCUGUAGUUCAGGCGGGAAGCUUUCAUUUGCAAACGCCUUGCUCUUAAAAAGGUUCCAACUCUCAUCUGAAUUCAUGAGAUUCAUCUUUAAAAGAAGAUUACUUGAGCUAGCAUUAAUAGCUACCUCAGUAUGACGGGUAGUCAACAAUAUUCGACUUCCAUUAUUAUCAAUUGGAAAACAUUGUUUUGUGUCAUCCCAUGCUUUAUUGCUCCAUAUGUCAUCUAUGACAAUAAGAUACCUCCUACAUUUCAAUUUUUUCUGUAGUAGGUCUGCUAGCUCAUCCUCAUCUCUGCUGUAGACUUUGUCAUCGAUAUUGAUUAUUGACUGUAGAAGACUUAGCAGGAUUUCUUUCACAUUGUAUUCUUUAGAUAUAGUAGCCCAAGCACGAACAUCAAAACGAGACUUAAUCGAAGGAUGGUUGAAGACUUGUUUUGCUAAAGUUGUCUUACCAAUGCCACCCAUCCCAACAAUUGGGAUGACUUUUAGUUCAUCUUUAGAGCCUCCUCUGAGUUCUUCAAGCAUCCUUUUCUUUUCCUUGUCACGUCCCACCAUAUUGUUCGAAACAUCCAGAUUAGGUAAUAUUUCUGAGCUACUUGUAUCUCGUAACAAGGACAACGUUGAUGCUUGGCUACCUUUAUGUUGUUGAAUCUUUUGCGACUCUUCUUGAACACGGUCAAUGUCCUUUGCUACUCGUUGCAAGCUCUCACGAAGUUUCUCAUGUGCUUUACCUCUCUGCAUUUCAUCUUCUGCUAUCAUAGCUUCUCUUAGUCCAAAUUCAAUUUUGUCUUCAACGACAUUAGCAAAUCCUUUUAUCCGCGCUUCCAGCUCUGUCAUUGCCAUAUGAUUAUGGAUUUGUUUCUCAGAGUUCUUGAGAAAUGCUUCUAUAGAACUGACUUUUUUAUGAAGCUCUAUGAUUUCUUCUCUGUGGUCAAAAGUAAGGGAUAACAUUGGUGAAUCGGACGUCAACA
rnacentral:lncRNA from 1 species